rnacentral:rRNA from 1 species
CAGGCCUAACACAUGCAAGUCGAACGGUAACAGGAAGAAGCUUGCUUCUUUGCUGACGAGUGGCGGACGGGUGAGUAAUGUCUGGGAAACUGCCUGAUGGAGGGGGAUAACUACUGGAAACGGUAGCUAAUACCGCAUAACGUCGCAAGACCAAAGAGGGGGACCUUCGGGCCUCUUGCCAUCGGAUGUGCCCAGAUGGGAUUAGCUAGUAGGUGGGGUAACGGCUCACCUAGGCGACGAUCCCUAGCUGGUCUGAGAGGAUGACCAGCCACACUGGAACUGAGACACGGUCCAGACUCCUACGGGAGGCAGCAGUGGGGAAUAUUGCACAAUGGGCGCAAGCCUGAUGCAGCCAUGCCGCGUGUAUGAAGAAGGCCUUCGGGUUGUAAAGUACUUUCAGCGGGGAGGAAGGGAGUAAAGUUAAUACCUUUGCUCAUUGACGUUACCCGCAGAAGAAGCACCGGCUAACUCCGUGCCAGCAGCCGCGGUAAUACGGAGGGUGCAAGCGUUAAUCGGAAUUACUGGGCGUAAAGCGCACGCAGGCGGUUUGUUAAGUCAGAUGUGAAAUCCCCGGGCUCAACCUGGGAACUGCAUCUGAUACUGGCAAGCUUGAGUCUCGUAGAGGGGGGUAGAAUUCCAGGUGUAGCGGUGAAAUGCGUAGAGAUCUGGAGGAAUACCGGUGGCGAAGGCGGC